CCUAGGAAUCUGCCUGGUAGUCGGGGGACAACGUUUCGAAAGGAACGCUAAUACCGCAUACGUCCUACGGGAGAAAGCAGGGGACCUUCGGGCCUUGCGCUAUCAGAUGAGCCUAGGUCGGAUUAGCUAGUUGGUGGGGUAAAGGCUCACCAAGGCGACGAUCCGUAACUGGUCUGAGAGGAUGAUCAGUCACACUGGAACUGAGACACGGUCCAGACUCCUACGGGAGGCAGCAGUGGGGAAUAUUGGACAAUGGGCGAAAGCCUGAUCCAGCCAUGCCGCGUGUGUGAAGAAGGUCUUCGGAUUGUAAAGCACUUUAAGUUGGGAGGAAGGGCAUUAACCUAAUACGUUAGUGUUUUGACGUUACCGACAGAAUAAGCACCGGCUAACUUCGUGCCAGCAGCCGCGGUAAUACGAAGGGUGCAAGCGUUAAUCGGAAUUACUGGGCGUAAAGCGCGCGUAGGUGGUUCAGCAAGUUGGAUGUGAAAGCCCCGGGCUCAACCUGGGAACUGCAUCCAAAACUACUGAGCUAGAGUAUGGUAGAGGGUGGUGGAAUUUCCUGUGUAGCGGUGAAAUGCGUAGAUAUAGGAAGGAACACCAGUGGCGAAGGCGACCACCUGGACUGAUACUGACACUGAGGUGCGAAAGCGUGGGGAGCAAACAGGAUUAGAUACCC
rnacentral:rRNA from 1 species